AUGUUCCUAUAUUUCCCUCUGGUCAGAAAAAUGGAAGAGGAAGAAGGGGACCAUGAGGCAUACCAAAGUGGUGGUUCAUCGUUGAUAUCCGGUGCGACAAUGAGAAGGGCUCAACCACCCCCAGGGGUGUCUCCUUCUUCGAUAAACAUUUGUAGAGCUUAUCAUGGACGUUCACAAGACACUCGUAUGGUUGAUUGUGAAGAAGAUGAGGCUGAUGAAGAAGAUGUUGACUAUGAAGAAGAAGAGGAAGGAGAAGAAGAUGAGGAUGAUGAAGAAGAAUAUGAUGAUGAUGAAGAAGAAGAAGAAGAAGAAGAAGAAGAAGAAGAAGAAGAAGAAGAAGAAGAAGAGGGAGAUAAUGUGGAUGAAGAGGGAGGGGUUGAGAUCAUUGACAUGGGUUCAUUUUCUGAACCGGGAAGAAAGUUUUUGUCUAAAGUGUGGAAAGAAUAUGAGCCUAUCCGUGUUGAUGGCAUAGUUGUAGCUGCUGAGUGCAAACACUGUGCAAGGAAUAUUUGUGCUGAGCGUAAACAUGGAACAAGUUCAUUGCGCAAACAUUUGAAGAGAUGCAGGGAAAGGAAGAAGGUUCUUAGAGUUUCUGGACAGCUGAGUGCUUCUAUCGUGAGUCCUGAUGGAGUUGCAAUGGGGCUCUGGACAUUUAAUCAGGCAUUAGCACGCCGAGAGCUAAUGAGGAUGAUUGUGUUGCAUGAAUUGGCAUUCUCAUUGGUGGAGUACGAUGGAUUUAGAAGAUUUGUCUCUAGUCUAAAUCCUAGCUUCAAGAUGAUAUGUAGAAAAACAGUGAAGGAGGACUGCAUGAAAGCAUUUAAGGAAGAGAAGAGAAUUCUGCAAAGGAUGUUCCAAAACUCCAAAUCCAAGAUUUCUUUGACUACGGAUCUGUGGACAUCAAAUCAGACAGUGGGGUACAUUUGCAUCACAGCUCACUUCAUUGAUGAGGAGUGGAAGCCGCAGAAGAGGAUAGUGAAAUUCGCAGCUAUGGAGACGCCGCACACAGGAGCUGCAAUGUUCAACGUCAUGGUGAAUUUCAUAAGAGAGUGGAACAUUGAAGAUAAUCUCUUUGCUGUGACGCUAGACAAUGCAUCAAACAAUGGUGCAAUGAUGAAGCUAUUGAAGGCACAUCUCCUGCUUAAGAAGAUGUUACCUGGUAGUGGCAAGUUGUUUCACCAACGUUGUGCUGCCCAUGUCAUAAAUCUGAUAUGUCAAGCAGGAUUGAACUUCCUUGGUCCAGUGAUCAACAUGAUGCGUGAAAGUGUCAAAUAUAUUCGAAGCUCACCAAGUCGAAAGGAAAAAUUUCAAGAAAUCGUUGCGCAGCAUGGUGUAUCAUGUGGGAGAACUCCAAGUCUUGAAGUUCCAACUCGCUGGAACUCAACCUACAUGAUGAUUGAUAUAGCGAAGGAGUAUCGCGGAGUGUUUGACUCUUUGGCCAUUCACGAUAAACAAUAUACCUUCAAGCCAUCUUUUGAGGAUUGGGAAAAUGCCGAAGAUGUUUGCAGGCUACUGAAGGCAUUUUAUGAAGCCACUAAUGUGAUAUCGGGCACAAAAUAUCCAACUGCUAAUUUGUAUUUCCAUGAAAUGUGA
rnacentral:rRNA from 1 species